GGGGCUGAACUGGAUUUGACAGGGAGGUAUGUAGGCAUACUGGCGCGUCGAGCUAAUGACGAUUACGCUCGAGAAUCUCAUUCGUUAAUCUUUUUUAUUUGGCGAGUAUAACUACGCCAUGGCUGCCUAAGACAAGGUCUUAGCAUAGUCAUUGCUUUUUACUUGUGAUAUCUGAUAGCGGGAUAAAAAGUAUCAUCAUUUCAUCAGGUCGUCUGCGUUAAGACGGCUUUCCUUAACGUUUGACGUAUUGAUUAAGCUACGGUGUUAUUUGGUGGGUUUCUUAACCUGAUAACACCCGACAAUAAAUAAGAAACUACACGCGUAGAAGGUUUGUCAGCAUCUCAGCUGGACGGGGGUUCGACUCCCCCCAGCUCCACCA
rnacentral:tmRNA from 1 species